rnacentral:misc_RNA from 1 species
AGCAGCCGCGGUAAUUCCAGCUUCAAUAGUGUAUAUUAAAGUUGUUGCAGUUAAAAGCUCGUAGUUGGGUGAGUACUGUCUGUGGCCGGGUCCUACCUUCUGGCGAAGCGUCAUGCCCUUAACCGGCCGUGCGGGGAACCAGGACUUUUACUGUGAAAAAUUAGAGUGUUCAAAGCAGGCAGUCGCUUGGAUACAUUAGCAUGGAAUAAUGGAAUAGGACAAUUCUAUUGGAUUUAUUGAAGACUAACUACUGCGAAAGCAUUUGCCAAGGAUGUUUCAUUAAUCAAGAACGAAAGUUAGGGAUCAGAUACCGUCGUAGUCUUAACCAUAAACUNUGCCGACUAGGAAUCGGGCAUGUUGAACAAAAUG